rnacentral:lncRNA from 1 species
AAGCCUUCUUGAACAUACAAUGUAUAAAAUUCUCUUCUUCCAGCUGACAAAGCAGCCAAAACUGGACCGACACCAUAAACACCUUGGCCAACCAGUCUAGGUACCGACGAUUCACUAGCCUCUUGCCAUGUCUUUCUGCCCCAACUUUCCUGCCUAUCCCACCUUCUAUACUCAGGUUUCUCAGCAUUGACAUCUUCCAUUCUCCUGAACCUAUUCUUGAUCUGAUCCCACCUUGGAUCAUCACCAGCCUCCAUUUCUUGUUCUUCUCCACUCCCUUCUGAAUUGGCUUCUUCCUGUCUUCUAUCCCUCACACUGUACUCACUUUGCCUAUCCCUCGCACUGUACUCACUUCGCCUAUCCCUCGCACUGACCUCACUUCGCCUAUCCCUCCCACUGUACUCACUUUGCCUAUCCCUCCCACUGUACUCACUUCGCCUAUCCCUCUCACUGUACUCACUUCGCCUAUCCUUCAUUCCAUUUCUUCUUUCUGCACUCUUCCUUUCCGAUGGACCACCAUUCCCAACAAGACCUUCUGCAGACACCUCCCAAGAAGACCGCUCAGUUUUCGGCUUCCUUUCUUCCUCUACUCUUUUCACUGAUUUGUCCCAAGAGGACUUACUACGGUGGUCUCCACCUCUACUCCUGGCCUCUUCCCCAGAAGAACCAGCAUUGCUGUCUUUCUCCAACCUCUUAGCAGACUCCCCCCAAGACGAAAGGGGUGUUUUCGUAGCCGUUGCUCGCUGCUCCAACCGUUUCGCUUCCUUAGCUGCCAACCACGGCAGCCUACUUCCAUUUCUCCCCUCACCGCUUCUCCCUCCAAUACCCUCAUUAGUCCAAUUCGAAAAACCUCUCCCUCUCACCAAAACCCAAUUCUGUGUACCACUUUUAACCCUGAACCCGCUCGAAUAACAUCUGGGUUUCACAACACCGUCAUUUCCUACAACCCUAUAACUAGAACCAUUAUGAAAAUCAACCAAGGGGGAUUGGGGUUUACUAAAGCUAAGGUUUAGUGAGGUUUUUGGGUGAGCACCAAUCUGUAAAGACUGGGACUUUUGGGUAUCAAACCCUUUAAAGCUUCUGGGUUUCGAGCAAACCCUAAUAGCCAAUGGAAAUGCCUGACCCUUUGUCAGAUUAGUAGCAUACAUUUGGGUAGUAGCAACUAAUCACUAACAAGUUGACAACACCCUAGGAAACUUAAAAGCUCAAAACUUCAAACCCAGAUAUAUCCAAAUCCAAAAAGAACAAAACUUGAACCAGAAAAUCAAAAAGUAGAAGGCUUUGAUUACUGGGUACCUUAUCCGCAAGACAUCGCUAAGCUGCUACCUUCUGAAACUCAAUGAAGAAUGAAGAAGCUAGUAGCUGUGUAGUGAAGACUGGUUGAAACGACGCCGUUCAGGAUAAGAGGGAUGAAAGUGACCGAAACACCCUUUUCGUACUGAGCACACAGUAGGGCAAAUCCACCGCAACAAGGGUGUUUUCAUCAAAAACGCAAUUAUAGAAGGCCUCUUUAUAUUUCCGUGAAAAACCCCGAAAAAUCGCAAAACCCUAAACCCUACUAAACAAUGGGAACUCCAGAAACGUCUCGGGAGCCGUGCCCGGACAGAAUCCUGGACGACGCCGGCGGCGCGUUCGGGAUGGGCGUAGUCGGAGGAGGCGCGUACCACUUCCUCAAAGGACUCUACAACUCGCCCAAGGGCGCGCGUCUCUACGGCGGCGCGCAGGCACUCCGGAUGAACGCGCCGCGCGUGGGCGGGUCCUUCGCCGUGUGGGGCGGCGUUUUCUCCACCUUCGACUGCACGAUGGUGUACCUCCGCCAGAAAGAGGACCCCUGGAACUCGAUCCUCAGCGGCGCCGCCACCGGCGGGUUCCUCGCGAUGCGGCAGGGGAUGGGCGCGACGGCGAGGUCCGCCGCCAUGGGAGGCGUGCUGUUGGCGCUGAUCGAAGGCGCCGGGAUCAUGCUGACCACCGUGUUGGAGAAGAAUCAAAAUCAGGCGAUUAUGAUGGAGGACCCUGCUGCUGGUAUGACAGGUCUGCCUGGGCCUGAGGCGGAGGGAAGCUCCUCCUCCUCGGUUGGUUCGUGGUUGGGAGGGUGGUUUGGGAAAGGCAAAGAGGCUGAGGCGGCGGCGAGCAGCGGAAGCGAGACCACGAUUCUGGAGAGUUUCGAUGCGCCUCCGGUGCCGAGUUAUGACUACAAGUGAUGAUCUUGGUCAGUACUAUUGUAGGUGUAUCAUAUUGAAUUUUCGAUAUUAUAUUUCAAUGAUGUGUUUUGAAUUUUCACCGGGGAGAAUGAAAUGUUGGUUCUGGUUUGCUUUGGGAGUAAGAAAAUCCUAAAGCUGCAUUUAACUUCUGAGUUGUUUUGUUUAGUACAAUUUUGCUAUCAUUCUCUGCAGUUCUGCAUUUACUUGUCUGGCUCAUUCUGUCUUGCCCUGUAUAUGAAAGGUCAAAGCUUUGUGAAAGUUUAGAUGUUAGAAGUUAAAUGCUGGACCUUUGGUUUGUUGGAGCUUAUGUUGAUUAAACUUUGAGGUGGGAAUAGAUGUAAAGAUCAGAAUUUUUUAAAAUUUUAACCCCAAGUUUCUUGGGAUCAUGCAAGGUUUGAGAUGAUGUUUUGAAUACAGGUUAGGUGCUUUGUUCUGUGACCUCUGCAAAAUGAUUUGAAAUUUUGUUACUUGUGUGUUGGGUGGCUGCUGCAUACUUGAUAUUGCGUUGAACUAUUUGAAAGCAGGACAUUUCCUGCCAGAGCUAGGUAUGAAUUACUGCAUAAACUUGAUUGGCUCUAUAAGGCAAGCCAGACUAAUAGCAGUUUAGGGUUUCUGCACUAGACCUGGUGGCCAUGCCGUAUUAUUUGGUUUUCUUGUAUGCAAACAUGAGGUCGUGUAUGAUCUGCUUGGAAAAAUAACCUUUUCUGUAAUGUUAGCAUUACAAGGUUGUAUCUAGCACUAUUAUCCUGAUCUCUUUGAUAUCUUGCUAUUUAGAAGCAGGAGUUGCACCAUUUGCACGUAUGUGUGCCAUUGCAGAGAAAGAACCCUGUUGCUAGAGUUGUUGGAACCCCCAGAAGUUUUCAACAAUGUAGAUUUGUUAUUCAGUGUUAAGCAGUCUGCAUUCUGUAAAUACAUUACAUUUAUGGCCAAAUGCCGUUGCAUCUUCCAUUCUUUCGCUCUAAUACGGGCUAAAGGAUGGCACGUUGUUAGUCUCGGACAAUCAACUUUUAUUCUGCUAAACUUGGGAUUAUUUUCAUUGUUCAGUAGUUGAUAUUCCAAACCAGAUGGAGACAUGGAGUGAAUGUUAGAUCAAUCAAAUUCUUUUGGGUUUGUACUCAAGAAAUUUUAUGACUUUUAUCCCUUCUUUUGAAAACAAUAGACAAAAUUUUCAUUAUCUAGACGAACUCGACAUAUACAUACCGUUGGGACGUAGUUCAGUAAUCAAACCCUCUCCCUCCCAAACUUGCCAUGGUUUCUGCCUUUCGGGCAUCUCUAUUGCAGGUUUUCAGCGGGCCUCUGGUUCAAUACUUCUUUAUUAUUGUGAAAUGUAUAUGGUAUGACAAGUUCUAAGUCACGAUCAUUCUUCAUUGUUAUGGUGAAAUGUAUAUGGUAUGACUUACAAACCAAAACAAUUCAUAUUUUAGUUUUGCACAUAUAUGUGUAGCACAACAUGCCAUCAUGAUUUGAGGAAGUUCUAUCAUUUGAGGAAAAGGGAUGGCUAGACUAUGUACCUCUUAUGAUUUGGUUGCAAUUUUAUGUUAGUAACAUGAUAGGAAAUGUUGGAGGAAGCCGAAAAAUAGAUGAAUCACAAAAUGAGGCAGAGACAACUUAUGAAGUUUCAAGGACAUUUCAUUGUAAUGUGACAAAUUCAAGUUCGAAAUUUGGCAAUUUAGUGUUUUGUAACAAACUGAAAAUGAGGAACCUUUCAAAACUAUAAAUUAGGGAUUGCAUGGUUACCUCUCCUUGGCUACUUGAUGUGAUUGACUAAAUCUGAUCUGGUUACUCAUUGUGUAUAUAUUAGUCCUUGGUUACUUGAUGUGAUUGACUAAACCUAAUCCGGUUUAGUUACUCAUUCUGUAUAUAUUAGUUGAAGGACAACCACUUUAAAACAAAGCUAUUUAUCAAGCUAGUGAACUGAAGAAAAAAAAAAAUGCAAUUUUUCUUGAACACGGUAAGAAGUUUGCAGUUUACAAAGCUAGAAAAAACUGUAAAACGUUCACCAAAAUCCAUCAUAAAUAUGAGAUAAUUUUUUUAGGGGAGUGAAAUUUGCACAUCCUUAAUUACAACACACACCGACCCACUUUUUAUCAUAAAAUUAUCAAAAUGUCCCUGACUUGGACAAUUAAAAAAAAAAACAUGGAUGAUUCUGCCUUUCUAAUACUAAAAAAUGGGUCGGGUGUGUAGAUUAUAAUUGAGGAUGUGUAAAUUUCACUCUCUUUCUUUCAUUGACUAAAUGAAAAUGGAAAAAGAAUCCCAUCGCCUAGCGGCCCAAGGGCUUCGCCUACCGCAUAGAAAGUGGCAAUGACAGUUUUUCUAGCCCCGUCCACAAACAUGCACCAAAUGGCCCACCGCCUAGCGGCCCAAGAACUCCAUCUAGCCCACAUAUAAUUUUUUUUNNNNNNNNNNNNNNNNNNNNNNNNNNNNNNNNNNNNNNNNNNNNNNNNNNNNNNNNNNNNNNNNNNNNNNNNNNNNNNNNNNNNNNNNNNNNNNNNNNNNNNNNNNNNNNNNNNNNNNNNNNNNNNNNNNNNNNNNNNNNNNNNNNNNNNNNNNNNNNNNNNNNNNNNNNNNNNNUUUUUUUUUUUGGAGAAUAUAUAUUUUUAUUAAUUAAGUGCCUCUGUUGUAGAUUAAAAAUGAGAUAAUAAACAGAGGAUGAUCCUCAAAAUAGUCAAACACAUUUCACCUCCACUCCUUCCUCCACUCUCCCAUCACUUCCUCUCCGCUCCCCUCCGCCGCACCAUGUCCACCGCCGACGCCGCCGUAAGCCCCUCAACCACCCGCGUGGGCUGGAUCGGCACCGGCGUCAUGGGCCAGUCCAUGUGCGGCCACCUCCUCAAAGCCGGCUACACUGUCACCGUCUUCAACCGCACCAUCUCCAAAGCCCAGCCCCUCCUCGACUUGGGCGCCAAGCUCGCCGACUCCCCACGCGCCGUCGCGUCCCAAUCCGACGUCGUCUUCACCAUCGUCGGUUACCCCUCCGACGUCUGCUCCGUCCUCCUCGACCCCACCUCCGGCGCCCUCUCCGGCCUCCGCCCCGGCGGCGUCCUCGUCGACAUGACCACCUCCGAGCCCUCCCUCGCCGUCGAGAUCUCCCAGUCCGCCGCUGCGAAAAACUGCUCCUCGAUCGACGCGCCCGUCACCGGCGGAGACGUCGGCGCGAAAAACGGAACCUUGGCGAUUCUCGCGGGCGGGGACGAGAGCGUCGUCAAGAAGUUAAUUCCCCUUUUUGCCCUCAUGGGUAAGGUUAGUUACAUGGGUGCCCCCGGGAAGGGCCAGUUUGCCAAGCUAGCAAACCAGACCAUCAUAUGUUCCACAAUGCUGGGACUAGUAGAGGGCAUGAUGUUUGCACACAAGUCUGGGCUGGAUGUUAGCUUGUUCCUGAAGGCAAUCUCGGUUGGUGCGGCCGGGUCUAGAUCGUUGGAUUUGUAUGGAGGGAGGAUUUUGAAGAGGGAUUUCGAGCCGGGGUUCUAUGUGAAUCACUUUGUGAAGGACUUGGGGAUUUGUUUGAAGGAGUGCCAGAACAUGGGGCUGGCUCUGCCGGGUUUGGCAUUGGCUCAGCAGCUUUACUUGUCCCUCAAGGCUCAUGGUGAAGGCAAUUUGGGCACCCAAGCACUCAUUUUGGCUCUGGAGCGCCUCAACAAUGUGUCACUUGAAGAACAACAAGCUGGUUCGACGAAGUAAUAAUGUUGUUGUGAGUUGGUAUUAUAGUUUCAAGUAGUGAAGCCUAGUUAUUACUGCUGCUUCUGAAUGCUAUGAUGUUUGCCUUUGUUUGUUCUAGAAUGGAAUGUUUUACUGAGUUUUAGUACCGGCUUUCUAAUACCAUUGGGGCAUUGUGUCAUAGGGUCACGUUUUCUCUGUUCACUAGGAGUAAUUCUAUGUGCACAAACCUCUUUCUAAAUACACAGCCCUAUUUCUCUAAUUCUUUCGAAAAAUCAUACAAAAUGAAUCCAAAAUCUAUCCCAUACCAACCAGUUUCUAUUUCAUAACAAGUCACCCCUGCAUCACUGCAUGCGUGCACAGUUUGGAAAGCGAGCAAAAAGGAAUACAAUGAGGGGAGUAGUUUGUGCCUUGUGGUUUAGUCAAGCACACUACUAUUCUUCUCUUAUCACAGACAAUUGAAGAACAUGUAGUUCUUCCAGAAGAUAGCAAAGUAUGAAGAAACAGACAUGAUAACCCACCUUCAAAUCAAGCACGCCUAGCUCAAUGGAUCAAGGACUAAAAUAUCGGAAAUAUCGUUGGUUCAGAAAAAAAAAAAAAAAUCUUGAUAGAUAUAUCGAGAAAAUAUUAAAUAUUGAUGAAAAUUUUACCAAAAAAUAUAUAAAAAUUGUAUAUUCGAUCAAAAAUAUAUUAAAUGUAUAAUAUCAAAAAUAUAUGAAAAUUAAUAUCGAUGUGUUAAAAACAGAAAUUUCAAAAAAACAUCUAAGAUAUAAUAAAUAUUUUAGUCCUUAAAAUUUAAAAAAAUAUCGAGGAUAUAAAAGAUAUUUGAAUCCUCGCAAUGGAUUUGUUAGUCUUGACAAUUGGGACAAAUACCCAACCCACCUUUCACUUGUCCAGAACCCCUUUGUUUUCCAAUCCCAUUUGCUUCUACACAACCACUCCCCCCGUUUUUUCUCUGGACUGGGAUCCUCUGCUCAUAAAUCUCUGUUAAUAUUUCCUAAUAAAAGAAUCAUGGUCGUUCAUUCUAAAUCAAUGGCCAAUAUGUCUCGGCCUUACCACAAAAACCUAUUUUCUCAUAUCUUCUCCCUUCUCUCUGUCAAAUUAUCAUGUCCCAUCUCUCUCUCUCUCUCUCUCUCGGUUCUCUUCCCAACCGCCGGCUCCCCUCUGGCGUCCUUUUUCUCGAUUUGAAUCCUCCGACGUCCAUUCAAGGACAGGGUCUUCUUGCCGGAUUCCUCAGAAUGGCAAGUACCAAGGAGCUUUCCAAAUUAUCAAACUCUAGUUCAUUCUUCCUCAGUCACUAUCGCAAUUAGAAAUUGUCUAUGGUCUAGAAGGAAAGGCAUCCACAACCCUUCAAUUCUGCAAGAACAUGGUAUAAUUAAGAUAUUGAGUGAAGAGAUGACGAAAACGGAAAACCUCACUAAAAUCCAUAGAUCUGAAUACCAACUACAAACCUUAUAAUUCCUGUGUAAAUUACAAGCACCAACUACAAACCUAUAAUUCCUAUCCAAAUUACUAGCCACACUGUACAAAUAACUCAGAUCAAAGUAAAAUCUACAAUCAAUUCGAUUCUUUCUACUAAAAAGCAACUAAUCAUCACAUUGAUUCUAUAAACAAAAAAAUAUGCCGGAAGCUCUGCAAAAUCAACAAGAAAGCCGUCGGCAUCGAUUUUGGGACGACGAACUCGGCCGUCAAUGGUGGGUAGCCCACCAAAGUGACCAUCGCUGAGGGGGCAGAGAACGACCCCGUCCGUGGUGGCUUAUACUAAGAACGGCGAAAAGAUGAGAGAGAGAUGGGACACGUCAGAAUCACUGAACAAUCUUACGUGCUCGAAAUUCUAUUCAUAGACCAAUGGAAUCAUAACUCUGGGAAAGAAAAUAGGGAACAAAAUACCAAAACAUAAAUAAACCGAGUCAAAGUCUUCAAUCACAAAACACACUUGCUUUCUCUGGUCUUCGUUCAACAAUGUCGUUCUCUGUUCACGAUCUACUAGUUGCCCCCUACACGGAAGCUUCAAACGCCGUCUUGCAUAGCCUUAACGUUACUCUUUCGUCACCUAGUCUCUUACUCUUACGUUUCCGAUCUAAAACAUUAGUCUCAACUAUGUUCGUACAAUUUAUAUCAAGUGACGUGAAUUUAACAUUAUUUAAUUAAACAUAAUACUCGUAACGAAUAAUAUCAAGUGAACCACAUUUUGAGAAACCAUCUACGGUCAAUUUUACAUGUCAGCUAAUUAGAUAACAUGCAUGUAUCACAUAAGCACGUAAAUUGAGAUCUAAAUAGUUUCAUGAAACAUGGUUCAAUUAGCAUUGUUGGCUAUCGUCUCAAGCAUCUAACUCGAAAUCAAUAAUAUAUUACUUGGUCUAUUUCCUGGAAAUUACUUGGUAAUUACAAUAAGAUCAAGUCAACUAGUUGAUCUAUAUCACAAUUUUCUUGCUUGCAAAUGGAGCAAAAACAAAAUUUAACAGCCAACAGAUAGGCACAGAUCUUUCUUGAUCUAGUUAACGGUGUCUAUGAACUUCAUACGUUGACCAGAUUUUUCCAGGUCUUCCACUAAAAUUGCCAAAUGUCAUGAUGACCCUUCAAUGAUGCUAUUCAUCUCCAAAUUUCCGCACCUCUUAAAAUGAUUUGAUCACAAGUACUUAACUAUCUUGUUUUGUUCUGAAUUAUCCAUCCUCAAAGUUCAGGAACCACGAGGUUUCAGACCUCCAUACCCAAAUGACAACACCAAAACCUUGUCUAUACACCCUUCUCUUCUUCAUCUUCCUCAUCCAUGCCAACUCUCAGUCCCUUCAAGACAAGGAAGUAGUAGUCCUGCUCAAGUUAAAGUCAUAUUGGCUAUCUCCACCGGCCCUCAGCCAUUGGACUUCAUCAUCAAACUCUAGUUCCCACUGUAGCUGGCCAGAGAUCACCUGCACCGAGAACUCCGUUACCGGAUUAGUUCUCUACAACGUAAACCUCACCCUUCAAGUUCCGCCCUUCAUUUGUGACCUCAACAACCUCACACACCUUGACCUUGGUGAUAACUACCUCCCGGGAGAUUUUCCCUUGUCUCUCUACAACUGCUCCAAGUUAGAGUACUUGGACCUCUCAAAGAACUACUUUGUGGGAACUAUUCCUGAUGACAUCGACAAAUUGCCUAAGCUGCAGACGCUCAUUCUCGCCGGCAACAACUUCUCCGGUGACAUUCCUGCGUCUAUUGGGAAGUUGCAGGAGCUGACAACUUUGCAUUUAUACAUGAACCAGUUCAACGGCUCUGUCCCUGCAGAAAUAGGUAACCUCUCCAACCUUGAGUUCCUCUGGCUCUCUUGGCUUCCCAAAAUGGCGCCAUGGAAGCUGCCUUUUGAAUUCACCAUGUUCAAAAAGAUGAAGACAUUGAAGAUUCGUGAAGCGAAUUUGAUAGGAGAGAUACCGGAGUCUGUUGGAGAAAUGGAAGCACUUGAAGAAUUGGAUAUGUCGAUAAACAACUUGAGCGGGAAAAUACCAAGUGGUGUGUUACUGUUGAAGCAUUUGAGCAUUAUCUAUCUCUUCAAGAACAGACUUUCAGGGGAGAUUCCUCAAGUGGUUGAAGCAUUCAACUUGACCAUAAUCGACAUCUCAGAGAACAAUUUCACAGGGCCAAUACCACAAGGUUUCGGAAACCUUACUAAGUUGACAGACAUGAGUUUGUUCUACAAUGAUGGUAUUUCAGGUGAGAUUCCAGAGGGAAUUGGCCUCCUGCCAAAUCUUGUGAUUUUCAAAAUGUUCAACAUGAACUUGUCAGGUACAAUUCCUCCAGAGUUUGGUAAGCAUUCGCCGCUUGAAGAUUUCCAGGUUUCGGUGAAUAGGCUUACCGGGAAGCUGCCAGACGGUUUGUGUAAAAAUGGUAAGCUUGUGGGAGUUGUUGCUUAUGACAAUAGUCUCACUGGGGGGCUACCAAGCUCUCUUGAAAAUUGUGAUAGUCUGCUGGUAGUCACAGUUUAUGAUAACAAGUUAUCCGGGGACAUUCCUAGUGGUAUGUGGAAUGCAUUGAACUUGACUUAUGUGCUGAUAAGCAACAAUUCACUUACGGGUGAGCUUCCUGAGAAGAUGUCAGAUAAUCUUCUAAGGGUGGAAAUAGCUGACAACAAGUUUUCCGGUCAGAUUCCAAGAGGGGUGUCUUCCUGCAAGAAGCUGCAAGUUUUUGAUGCUCGUAAGAACCUCUUGAAUGGCACUAUUCCUCAGGAAUUAACUACUCUUCCGAGCUUGUCGAGUCUUCUCCUUCAUCAGAAUCGGCUUAGCGGGCCACUUCCAUCAGAUAUUGUAUCAUGGGAGUCGCUAAACAUUCUUGAUCUGAGCAGAAAUCAACUCUCCGGACCAAUUCCAGAGAAACUUGGUGUUUUGCCAUCUCUUACUGAGUUGGACCUCUCAGAAAACCAAUUUUCUGGCGAGAUUCCAAAUCAAUUUGCCAUUCUGAAACUCAACAAUUUAAACCUGUCUUCAAAUCUCCUCACUGGCGAGAUACCAACUUCACUUGAAAACUCUGCGAAUGAGAGAAGCUUCUUGAACAAUACUGCUCUAUGUGCAAGCACCAGUGGUUUCAAUGUCAAUAUAUGUUCUAGAUCACCAACCUCCGGCAAGAUUUCAAAUUGGUCUCUAGCUUUGAUCUUAAGUCUAAGCGCGGUGUCGUUCCUGUUGGUUCUGUUCUUAUUAGUCUUCUUUGUUAGAGGAUACAGGAGAAAGAAGGAUGGAUCACACGCAGACUGGAAACUCACUUCAUUUCAGAGGUGCAAUUUCACCUUAUCAAAAAUCUUGGCAGGGUUGACAGAAGGCAAUGUGAUUGGAAGUGGUGGAUCAGGAAAGGUUUAUCGUGUACCUGUGAAUCGUAUAGGUGAUGUUGUAGCUGCAAAGAGGAUUUGGACCAACAAGAAUAUCAUGGAGGAUAGGCUUGAAAAACAGUUUCUUGCAGAAGUCAAGAUACUGAGCUCAAUUCGACAUGCCAAUAUAGUGAAGCUGAUGUGCUGCAUUUCCAGUGAGAGUUCGAAACUUCUUGUAUAUGAGUACUCAGACAAUCGCAGCCUAGACCGAUGGUUGCACAAGAAAAACGAAACAUCCCUAUCCAACCUCUCAAGUUCAGUUCAUCAUGUUGUCCUGGACUGGCCUAAGAGGUUGCAGAUUGCAGUGGGAGCUGCUGAUGGCCUCUGCUACAUGCAUCAUGACUGUGUUCCACCCGUUAUUCAUCGAGAUGUGAAAUCAAGUAACAUUCUGUUGGAUUCUGAUUUCAACGCGAAAAUUGCAGAUUUUGGUCUUGCCAAGAUGUUAGUCAAGCAAGGAGACCUUGCCACAAUGUCAGCUGUUGCUGGCUCCUUUGGCUACAUGGCUCCAGGUAAUAACCUAUACACACAAAUACUCAAGUUAGUUCCUGAGAAAUGUGAUUUUCUGUGACCAAGUUUAAUUAAACUUAUCUUUUCAAUUUGAAUGCAGAAUACGCACAUUCCACAAGAGUGAAUGGGAAGAUUGACGUAUACAGUUUCGGGGUUGUCCUGCUCGAGUUGACAACUGGUAGAGAACCCAAUGAAGGUGAUGAGCACACUUCUCUUGCCGAAUGGGCGUGGCGACAUGGUCAAGAAGGCAAACCUAUCGCCGAUGCUCUGGACCAGGACGUCAAAGAACCUUGUUACAUGGAUGAAAUGAAUGCCGUCUUCAAACUCGGCAUAAUGUGCACUGAGAAAAAUCCUUCUAACAGGCCUUCUAUGAGGGAGGUUCUGCAUAUCUUGGUUAAUACCUGUCCUGCACCAGUUCGAAGGGAAAAGACCGAGUAUGCUGCUGCUCCUCUCCUCAAGAAUUCAAGCCGAGAGAGGGUUUUGGAAGAUCAAGAUGGUUUGGCAACGGAUGUGUGAUAAUUCCCAGAAGAUGACACCAAUAUGUUAGGAUCAGUCCACAUCCUAAUGGUUAUCCAGCCCAUUCUCUUACAACCUCUGUGCAGCUAGUACAUUGCAUCUCCAUGCCUCAGCUAGCAUCUAACUUCGCUUCGAUUGGGAGGGAGAAAGCAAUCUAGAAGAUAACUAAUCUUUAUGGACGUGAAUGCAUAAGAUGAGAUUCUGAGGUUUCAGAAAAUGUGAUACAGAGCAGAUAAGAUGAUGUACCAACAAAAAGAUGAGUUACAUUUUUUUUUUGAACAGUUAAAAGAUGAGUUACAUUAAUGAUUAAUGUAUUAAUCCAAGGAUUCAAAAAGCAUAUAGCAGUAUGAUGUUAUGAACUGAGAUACUGACAAUUUGAUGAUUUCGACUUUGGUUACCACCAAAAGUACAGUUGCUUAUGGUACAUGUUUUCAGACAAGAGUUUCGAAGAAUAUCAAAACUGGAUGCCUAUUCCCACUUCUAGAUAAAACUCUAAAAGAUGCAAAUAUAAAUAACCAUUUCAUACGGAGCAUUGUAAAAUGGGAAUCAUCCUAUAAAGACACUAGCUUAAUCUAGUGUAAUAAAUUUAAUGGAGUGUAGAAUCUUGAUCCAGUCCGUUAUUCUGCUGAGCAACCGCAUGAACUUCACUCUUCUCAUUGUUUCCCAUUAAGUGAUGAAGAAGCACGCCAGCUGCAACACUGACAUUCAAGCUCUCCACAGCCAAAAAUGACCUGAACUCUUCAGCAGAGCACCCAUGAUUCACUUCAACAGAUUCACUAUCAUCAAAUCCUCCGGCAGUUACAUCCACAGGAAUAUUUCCAGGAAUUCAAAUCAAUUGAGUGCAAGAUCUUUCCACCAAAGGCCUCAACCCAGUGCCCUCACUACCCAGAACAAGAAUGGUUGGUUCACUAGGUACUAUCUCAUUCAAGGGAAUAGCUUUGCUAGAAACAGAACCGCCAAGAACACGCCAACCAUUUUCAGAUGAGGAUGUUAGAAACUGCAUCAUGUUCUUACAAUAUCGCAACUCUAUUAACUCAAGUGAGCCUGCACUCGCUUUACUCACAACACCACUCAGCGAGGCUGAAUUCUUUGCACAUAACACCACCCCUGCAGCUCCAAAGUAGUGAGAGGACCUGAUGAUUGCCCCCAAAUUUUGAGGAUCUGUAACCUCAUCCAAAGCUACCCAAAGAGCACCCUUGUCUUCCUCGACUGAAAUAGGGUCCAAUUCCUUAAUUUUAACCAUCUCCAAUGGGGAAGCAUCUAGAAGCAGACCCUGAUGGGGUCGAUUAUCAGCAGCCAUAUUAAGAUCAUGCUUGCGCAACUCCUUUAUGGUCACCCCAAAAUUUACAGCCAUCCUCAAGACUCUCUCAAAUCCCUUCUUGUCUUCCUAUUAUUAUUGCUCAAAACCAAGCCUUCUUGAACAUACAACGUAUAAAAUUAUCUUCUUCCAGCUGACAAAGCAGCCAAAACUGGACCGACACCAUAAAGACCUUGGCCAACCAGUCUAGGUACCGACAAUUCACUAGCCUCUUGCCAUGUCUUUCUGCCCCAACUUUCCUGCCUAUCCCACCUUCAAUACUCAGGUUUCUCGGCAUUGACAUCUUCCAUUCUCCUGAACUUAUUCUUGAUCUGAUCCCACCUUGGAUCUUCACCAGCCUCCAUUUCUUCUUCCUCUCCACUCCCUUCUGAAUUGGCUUCUUCCUGUCUUCUAUCCCUCACACUGUACCACUGUACUCAUUUCGCCUAUCCCUCGCACCGUACUCACUUUGCCUAUCCCUCGCACCGUACUCACUUUGCCUAUCCCUCACACUGUACUCACUUCGCCUAUCCAUCAUUCCAUUUCUUCUUUCUGCACUCUUCCUUUCCGAUGGACCACCAAUCCGAACAAGACCUUCUGCAGACACCUCCCAAGAAGAUCGCUCAGUUUUCGGCUUCCUUUCUUCCUCUACUCUUUUCGCUGAUUUGUCCCAAGAGGACUUACUACGGCGUUCUCCACCUCUACUCCUGGCCUCUUCACCAGAAGAACCAGCAUUGCUGUCUUUCUCCAACCUCUUAGCAGACUCCCCCCAAGACGAAAGGGGUGUUUUCGUAGCCGUUGCUCACUGCUCCAACCGUUUCGCUUCCUUAGCUGCCAACCACGGCAGCCUACUUCCAUUAGUCCAAUUCGAAAAGCCUCUCCCUCUCACCAAAACCCAAUUCUGUGUACCACUUUUAACCCUGAACCCGCUCGAAUAACAUCUGGGUUUCACAACACCGUCAUUUCCUACAACCCUAUAACUAGAACCAUUAUGAAAAUCAACCAAGGGGGAUUGGGGUUUACUAAAGCUAAGGUUUAGUGAGGUUUUUGGGUGAGCACCAAUCUGUAAAGACUGGGCCUUUUGGGUGUCAAACCCUUUAAAGCUUCUGGGUUUCGAGCAAACCCUAAUAGCCAAUGGAAAUGCCUGACCCUUUGUCAAAUUAGUAGCAUACAUUUGGGUAGUAGCAACUAAUCACUAACAAGUUGACAACACCCUAGGAAACUUAAAGCUCGAAACUUCAAACCCAGAUAUCCAAAUCCAAAAAGAACAAAACUUGAACCAGAAAAUAAAAAAAUAGAAGGUUUUGAUUACUGGGUACCUUAUCCGCAAGACAUCGCUAAGCUGCUACCUUCUGAAAUUCAAUGAAGAAUGAAGAAGCUAGUAGCUGUGUGGAGAAGAGUGAAGACUGGUUGAAACGACGCCGUUCAGGAUAAGAAGUGUGAAAGUGACCGAAACACCCUUUUGGUACUGAACACACAGUAGGACAAAUGCUGGAUAAGAGUUGUUUUGUUUAGUAAUUUUGCUAUCAUUCUCUGCAGUUCUGCAUUUACUUGUGGAAAUUAAGAUGUUAAAUGCUGGACCUUUUGGUUUUAUGGAGCUUCUGUUGAAUAAACUCUGAGGUGGAAAUAGAUGUAAAGGUUAGACCUCUGUUAAAUUUUAACCUAGUUUUCUUAAGAUUAUGAAUUUUGAGAUGAUCUCUUCACUAGCAGAUUAUGUGCUUUGUUUCGUCACCUCUGCAAAAUUA